CCUACGGGUGGCUGCAGUCGAGGAUCUUCGUCAAUGGGGGCAACCCUGAACGAGCGAUGCCGCGUGCGCGAUGAAGGCCUUCGGGUUGUAAAGCGCGAAGGUGGGGAGAAAGGCCGAAAGGCGUGAUCUAUCCACAGUAAGCUCGGGCUAAGUUCGUGCCAGCAGCCGCGGUAAGACGAACCGAGCGAACGUUGUUCGGAAUAACUGGGCUUAAAGGGCGCGUAGGCGGGCUGUCAAGUUUGGGGUGAAAUCCCGCGGCUCAACCGCGGAACUGCCUCGAAUACUGACGGUCUCGAGGGAGGUAGGGGCGAGCGGAACUGAUGGUGGAGCGGUGAAAUGCGUUGAUAUCAUCAGGAACUCCGGUGGCGAAGGCGGCUCGCUGGACCUCUUCUGACGCUGAGGCGCGAAAGCUAGGGGAGCAAACGGGAUUAGAUACCCCUGUAGUC
rnacentral:rRNA from 1 species